AGGGUGGAUUAAGGGCUGACAACAGGGCAGGGGCCCAGUGAAUUGGAAGCCAACCCUGGGGCUUUGAUUUCUGGUCUCUUGGUGACUGAGGAGGAUUUUUUCCCAUUGUCUAUAUCAGUCCUCAUUCCAAGGUCCAGCCAGGGAAGUCACUGUAGGUCUGUUUUGGUCAGGAUGGGGCUAGGGAUGGAUCCCAGGGCCAUGCCUGUAAUAAGCAAGCCCUUUCUCACUGAGCUGAACCCCUGGCCACAGAUCUCUUAUUCAGAAUAAGAUGGAAGGAAUUUGGUCAUAGAGGUUUUACCAGUGUCCUCUGCUGGAAGGAACCACAGAAAAGGCGUCCUCUUUACCACCGCGACAGAGCUGGGGCUCUCCAGGGAGGCUGCUGCCUAGUGUACAGUGAGCUAGCACUGUAGGAAUCACAAAUGCAUAGAGCUCCCUAAAGCACGGGGAUAACAACCCAGCUCAGUGGGAAGCUGCUCAUUUAUCAUGCAAAGGCCCAGCACCA
rnacentral:lncRNA from 1 species